CGGGACGGGUGAGUAACGCGUGGGUAACCUGCCUCACACUGGGGGACAACAGUUAGAAAUGACUGCUAAUACCGCAUAAGCGCACAGGACCGCAUGGUCUAGUGUGAAAAACUCCGGUGGUGUGAGAUGGACCCGCGUUUGAUUAGCUAGUUGGUGGGGUAACGGCCUACCAAGGCGACGAUCAAUAGCCGACCUGAGAGGGUGACCGGCCACAUUGGGACUGAGACACGGCCCAG
rnacentral:rRNA from 1 species